AGUCCAUGGUGACGACACCUUUUUAACAAAUCCUUAAAUCUCUCACAUUUAUCAUAAAGAGUCUCAAUAUCAAAUUGAACAAAAGAAGAGAUAUCAUUCCUCACCUU
rfam:Gossypium hirsutum cultivar TM-1 chromosome 4, whole genome shotgun sequence